GUGUCAGCAGCCGCGGUAAUACGUAGGGGGCAAGCGUUACUCGGAUUUAUUGGGCGUAAAGAGAAUUCAGGCGGUCAUGUAAGUCAGUGGUGAAAUACCUCGGCUCAACUGAGGAAUUGCCUUUGAUACUGCGUGACUCGAGGACAGGAGAGGAAGGCGGAAUUCCCGGUGUAGCGGUGGAAUGCGUAGAUAUCGGGAGGAACACCUGAGGCGAAGGCGGCUUUCUGGACUGGUCCUGACGCUGAUAUUCGAAAGCUAGGGGAGCAAACAGGAUUAGAUACCCUGGUAGUCCUAGCUGUAAACGAUGGAUACUAGAUCUUGCAUGAUUUUGCUUGGUCGAAGCUAACGCGUUAAGUAUCCCGCCUGGGGAGUACGGUCGCAAGGCUGAAACUUAAAGGAAUUGACGGGA
rnacentral:rRNA from 1 species